GAUGAACGCUAGCUACAGGCUUAACACAUGCAAGUCGAGGGGCAGCAUGACGAUAGCUUGCUAUUGUCGAUGGCGACCGGCGCACGGGUGAGUAACGCGUAUCCAACCUUCCCGUUGCUAGGGGAUAACCUUGCGAAAGUAAGACUAAUACCCUAUGAAGUUCUUCGCAGGCAUCUAAAGAGAACGAAAGAUUUUAUCGGCAACGGAUGGGGAUGCGUCUGAUUAGGUUGUUGGCGGGGUAACGGCCCACCAAGCCCACGAUCAGUAGGGGUUCUGAGAGGAAGGUCCCCCACAUUGGAACUGAGACACGGUCCAAACUCCUACGGGAGGCAGCAGUGAGGAAUAUUGGUCAAUGGACGGAAGUCUGAACCAGCCAAGUAGCGUGCAGGACGACGGCCCUAUGGGUUGUAAACUGCUUUUAUGUGGGAAUAAAGUGAGGGACGUGUCCCUUUUUGUAGGUACCACAUGAAUAAGGACCGGCUAAUUCCGUG
rnacentral:rRNA from 1 species